rnacentral:lncRNA from 1 species
CGCGAGUGAGGAAUUGGAUCACCGACAGCGAGAGGAGGACGAAAGGGGAAGGCCGGCGCGUGGUUUUCUGGGCCGAGAGAGACUGCGGACAGUAGUACGAGGUUUUGGCGUUUCGGGCAGCGAGCCUAUGUUUCUGUGGUUUUGUCAGUACCAGAAACGGAAAUGGUUCAGCGGCGCUCACUGACACGCAACGUCCUACUUGGCGUCCGGAAUUUUAGCCUUUUUCGUGAGUGCCCACUGCCCAACAACCUACUUGGCGUUUUGGGCAGCUAGCCUGUUUCCUCUCUAGUCAGCUCCUUGUUUGGUCCGAUACAAAAUUGUAGUAGUACUGUGGUAGUAGUGUGAUUUAUUUUCAGUACGACAAUCGGAAAUGGUUCAGCGGCUAGCUAUUUUUUUUUAGCUAGACAGACACGCAACAUCCGUUUGGGUUAGCUAGCCUUUUUCGUGAGGUUGCGGUCGAAAUUUUUUGCUCUCUUUUUUUUUGCCGGGAGCUUUGGCUUUGGUUCGUGAAGGGGAUCUUCGAAUUGACCGUGAAGAACAGAACGAGCAUGACCCGGUCCGUGUGGAGGUCAAAUUUACUAAAUACUGCUCAAUUCCCGGUGCCUGACCCAGGUUACAUUGAAAAUUUGGGGACUGAGGCGUUUGUCUCUGGUCAUCUAAAAAAAAAUUACUGCUAAAUUCCAGCAUAUUCUAUUUUUUUAUGCACACAGGAAGGGAACCUCGGAGAUGAGGGAAAGGGUCAUAUAUCUGGAUUUUUUGUUCUUCUGAGAAUCCCACGUAACUUUAUUCAAACUCGAAAACCAUCACAUGUGCAUACACACAAGAAGUCACAAAGCAACGU